rnacentral:rRNA from 1 species
GAUGAACGCUGGCGGCGUGCCUAAUACAUGCAAGUCGAGCGAAUGGAUUAAGAGCUUGCUCUUAUGAAGUUAGCGGCGGACGGGUGAGUAACACGUGGGUAACCUGCCCAUAAGACUGGGAUAACUCCGGGAAACCGGGGCUAAUACCGGAUAACAUUUUGAACCGCAUGGUUCGAAAUUGAAAGGCGGCUUCGGCUGUCACUUAUGGAUGGACCCGCGUGGCAUUAGCUAGUUGGGGAGGUAACGGCUCACCAAGGCAACGAUGCGUAGCCGACCUGAGAGGGUGAUCGGCCACACUGGGACUGAGACACGGCCCAGACUCCUACGGGAGGCAGCAGUAGGGAAUCUUCCGCAGUGGACGAAAGUCUGACGGAGCAACGCCGCGUGAGUGAUGAAGGCUUUCGGGUCGUAAAACUCUGUUGUUAGGGAAGAACAAGUGCUAGUUGAAUAAGCUGGCACCUUGACGGUACCUAACCAGAAAGCCACGGCUAACUACGUGCCAGCAGCCGCGGUAA